UCCAGACUCCUACGGGAGGCAGCAGUGGGGGAUAUUGCACAAUGGGGGGAACCCUGAUGCAGCGACGCCGCGUGGGUGAAGGAGCGUUUCGGCGCGUAAAGCCCUCUCGGCAGGGAAGAAGGAGGACGGUACCUGACUAAGAAGCCCCGGCUAAAUACGUGCCAGCAGCCGCGGUAAUACGUAGGGGGCAAGCGUUAUCCGGAUUUACUGGGUGUAAAGGGGGCGCAGACGGCAGCGCAAGCCAGGAGUGAAAGCCCGGGGCCCAACCCCGGGACUGCUCUUGGAACUGCGCGGCUGGAGUGCAGGAGGGGCAGGCGGAAUUCCUGGUGUAGCGGUGAAAUGCGUAGAUAUCAGGAGGAACACCGGUGGCGAAGGCGGCCUGCUGGACUGCGACUGACGUUGAGGCCCGAAAGCGUGGGGAGCAAACAGGAUUAGAUACCCUUGUA
rnacentral:rRNA from 1 species